AAGCUCCCUUUCUCACCCUUUUGUUCCCUUGCCGAUAGAAUCAGUCACUAUUAGAAAAAAUGAAAGACGCUCUGUUUAAAACAAUGAUGACAGCAGUACUUAAUAUGUAUUUCGAGGUGAACUUAUAUAGAUUGAGAGAGGCUGCAUUUGGCAGACUGAUGUAUAGGAAGACCCAUUUGUUUCUAGCUUCUCCCUGCAGGGAAAAUGCUUUCGUCAUUAUAGCCUCUUUACACAGACUGGCCAUUCUAGUGAAACAGGUGGUAAACCUUUGGGCUGCCCAGAAACAUUUUAUCUGUUUUCACUUACCUAGGAAGGGGAAAGAUUAGCGGGUCAUCCAAAAUCUGUAUGUAAGCUAUCUUCAUUUUCUUCCCCAACCUUCUCCUCCUGGGAAACACAAAUGCUAUCUCAUCUGACAAAAGGUUUUAGAGGAUAAAGCUGAAAAGAUUGGAUUGGGAUCUUUUUGUGGCUUGGGGCGGAGCCUUUUGCUAAAAUCUCAAGAAUGCUGCUUUGAGUUUAGCUAGGGUGGCUCUCAGAACUGGGGUGCCUGGCAUUCUCAGCAUUUCUCAGGGGCCUCCCACCUCUGACAACUGCAGUGUUAGCUAAUACAUACCUUGAGCAUAGAACUGAAUGCUGUAAUUCAGAGCCAUUUUUUUUUUCAACUUGAACAUUGUACAAUUUUACUGCAAUUUCCUUUGAACUUUCUUGCCACUGUUUGGAAUCUUAAAAAUUCAUUAGCCUUCUCCUUUCUGACAUAAAGCUACUCUUCAUCAGAGAUGAGUUCCUAUGUAUGUCCUUUGUUCCUUCAAUAGCUAAUUAAUGUGCUUGAGGAUACUUCAGUGGAAAAAAAGGUUUAAAUAUGCAAAUUACUAAUAAAUGUGUAACCUUAUGUAACUUGUGUUACAUCAAGUAACAAGCUAAUCUAGUUUGUUUCACUGGACUAGGCUUGUGCUCCCUACUUCAGUAUUUUGAUGCUUUCCUUGAUCUUUGUUUCACAAAAUGUUGUGAAUUUUGGUAUCAUUCAAAACAAAUGACAUUUAUUAGGUUUCAUUUUGAAACGAUGUACAGACAAGUCCCCAACUUAGAAACCGGUUUGUUCUUAAGGUUCUUGCGUCAGCCCAUAGAAGCCCACUGACCUCCACCACAGCCCAAAUGGAGGGCUGUGAUAGCCAGAUCUGGUUGGCUUUUGUGGGCUGACCCAGACAUUUAAUCACCAUCUCUUAUGUUGUUGCCGUAAGAAAUGCAUUCCAGGUUGGGACUUGGGAUCCUGAGAGCACAUUCGCCCCCUGUGGUGGCCGCUUGCCACCUUGCAAGAUGGAAGCCCAGUCUCCUUACUACCAAACUGUAGUUGUAAGCAGAGGGAGGGGUGAGAUGUUUAUAGGACAUUCCCUAAGCUGGGGAGUGAUUUUUAUCACUAUUCAUGUCAACUGUACUUUGGUAUAGACUCCCUAUCAAUUUAAUAAUAUGAAAAGCCUAAAAUAAAACUAUGCAUGCUAUUCUAUGUGCUAUUUUAUAUCAGUAAAUAAGCUUAUGCUUGCCAGUUGUAUACACAGUUAUGAGGUGUAUAGAACUGACUUUGACAGUAUUUUUUGCACUGUUUCCUAUCUGUUUUUAUAAAGUCUUAUUUAGAUAUUGGACCUUGUUGAUGUUCUCACUGCCCUUGUGCUUGCUAUAAAAUGUUUCAUAUGUGCCUUUACAAAUGUGAGAUCUUUAUUCUAACCUUUUUUUGUAAAAGAUAUCUAUUGAUUUCCAUAUGCAAUAAACCUUUUUUUCAGAGAAAAGUUACAUCUUCUCUUUUCUGUACUGUAUAUGUUUGCAUUAGUUGAAAGUGCCUGGGAAAACCUGCAUGCUUUGUUUUCUAAAGCCCAUUUAUUGCUACCCAGUUUUUAGUCCUGCAUAACCUUAUCAUACUGAAGAUUUAGUUUGAAAUUCCCAAGGUUGUCACUGUUAGAAGAAACCUGAAAGGGGUGAUCACUAGGCAAGUGGAGUGAAGAAUACAUAGAAAUGGGUCUUUCUCACAAAUGCAGCAAUAAGCCUCGUUAAGCUCCAAGCCCCUACUCACUCCUCCUUCACUGUCAUUUACUCAGGUACCAAACUGUUGAUGUGGAAAAGGCAGGCACCAACCAGGCUGCUGUAGAAAAUUUAAAUUCUUGCUUUUGCCUUUCAGCUUUAUAACAGCUCAACUUGUGUCCAGGUUUAAAGGUGGCUGUCCUGUCCCAGACUUUCAGCCAGUAACCACCAUAGCACAUUCACGGUGAACCCCUCAUAUGUGGGUAGAUGCUUUAUGUAUCCUUGAAUGAAAGAACAUGUCUGGGUUGACAGAGGACUCACUGCUCACUGUGGAACAAUCACAGAUGGCUAUAUCUGACACAGACACACAGCAGGUUAUUCCUGAAGAAACAACCAGCCUGGUGGACUGGAUAAAAGGCACUAUGAGGCACAGCCCCACAAGAGCAACUGCAGAAUAAAGAGGCUGCCCGACCCCAGUCCCAUGGAGAAGACUUGAGCUUGCUGAAUUAUGGACAGCAGGUGUCACUUUCACUCCAAGACUGGGCUCCCACCACCACUGAGAAAUCCUCCCCAGAGACAGAAGAAAAUACAAACCUCAAAUACUGAUAUCUCUUUAAUACUUUCAUCAUUCAAGUUUGUUCAGAACAUUACAAGAGGCAUGAAAGAAAAAAUAAUUCCAUUUUUAAAACUCUGUCUGUCCAAAGUAUAACAUAUGAAACCAUGCCAUUAUCUCUUAGGAAACAAAAGCAUUCAAAAUUAAUUUGGUAUUAAAGUUCAAGAUUCAGACUAACCUCAAAGUACGGCAUGUGCAGUGUUUAAGUGCAAGAAGUAUUUUCAUUCCAAUUAUUUUACAGAGAUGCUGGAGUGACGUGUGCAAUUUGAAAUAUUCAAAUCCUUUAAGGUUUCUGAACUAAGUGUUUAAAUGAAAACUGAAAUGCUGCAUAGUUUCAGUGGC
rnacentral:lncRNA from 1 species